rnacentral:lncRNA from 1 species
AUGAGGUCUGUUUUUCAGCUUUCUCAGUGCACCUCACUGGAUAAGAAUCUUUCUUCAGGAACAACAAAGCUGCCAUCUUCAAGGGUGAACCACAUGAGACCAGGAGAGAAUUUUCUGAGCAUCUUCAUCCAGAAUGCAGAAUUCACUUCUAAAUGAAUGGCUGAAGUAAAGAGACAUUGAACUCCUUCAGACUUCAACAGCAAUGGUUUGAAAUAGUGAACAUGAUGUUCAUUGAUGAACAGUUAUAAGACCUCUUUUCUGUCUUAACUGCCUAUACAAAGUAGUAUUUAAAUCUUUCCAGUAACAAAAUGGAGACAGAUAUAAGGAACGUAUCAAGACUACAGAAGACACAUUGCAGCCUAUUCUACUAUUAAACAGUAAGUAUGUUAUUUGGCUUUACGGUUGUGAAUAAUUCAUCUGCGCUUUUUUUUUAAUGUUUGAGUUCUCUUUUUCACCUUUCAUCUCUUGUGCAGACAUUUCAGGUAAGUCCAUGUUCACUAAAAGAGUUUUUACCGUGAACUGUACAUUAUUUUCAGUAAAUUGAUGAAACUAGUAAUACCUUUUGGGGGUGGGAUUAAGAAAUUUUGAAAAUUAGAAAUUUCAGUGAUGCAAUCGGUAAGUAAAAUUAUUCGAGAGAAACUCCUAGGGAAGUCACAUCGAAGCAUAAGAG